rnacentral:rRNA from 1 species
UACGAAGGGGGCUAGCGUUGCUCGGAAUCACUGGGCGUAAAGCGCAUGUAGGCGGGUCCUUAAGUCAGGGGUGAAAUCCUGGAGCUCAACUCCAGAACUGCCUUUGAUACUGGGGAUCUCGAGUCCGGAAGAGGUGAGUGGAACUCCGAGUGUAGAGGUGAAAUUCGUAGAUAUUCGGAAGAACACCAGUGGCGAAGGCGGCUCACUGGUCCGGUACUGACGCUGAGGUGCGAAAGCGUGGGGAGCAAACAGG